UCUGGUUACACAGGGCGUUUCUGCUCUGCCUUAUGUUUUUCAGAUACAAAGGGGACACCUGAGAAGACCGGAAAAUAACAGAAAGGGGCCCGGGAUGAAGACAUUCUGGGAAGGAAAUACCAAACAAGAGUUCCAUAGAGGAUUCUUCAGAAACCAUGAGCUCUCAAAAUCGGCGCUGGUGUGGAGAUGAGCCCUGCCUUGGGGACCACUGACCCGACCACGUCCCAAAGAUCAUUAACAUGGAUUCCAGGAAAUGAAAACUCCUUGGCACAAGGAGGAAAUGAAAGAUGACCCAGGGCUAAAUGGUGACCUCCAGGAAGUGGGCCUCGCCACUGCCCGGCAGAGGUCCCAGGACUGAGACCGAGUCACACAGCGGGCAUUCCCUCCAGAAAGCCCAAAGCCGAUUCCCAAGACUGCAGAUCUGAGGCACUGGCAACACCCUCUCUACUGAGCCUCAUUAGCAUAUCUGAGGGAGGAGGGUCUGAAACCCUCACUCCAGGGAAGCUGGGCAGCCACCUGGCCCCAUUUGGCAGGCCUGCUCUGAUCCCAGGUCACCGCUCCAUGGGCCAUCUCAUCUGUCAAACACUUCCUGCACGCCAUCCACUCUAGGACAGAAAACCUGCUGUCGGCACAAACUCCAAGGCUGAAGCAGCCCAGGAAGACGCCUUCCUUUCUCCGCUGUUCACCUCAGUUCCUGCCCAGACAUUCUUUGGCUCUCUCCUUUCUCCAGCUCUUUCUUCUUUUCACCAUCUAUCUAUUUAUUAAAUACCUUUCCAACAUGGUGAUGUGAACCCUUACUAAUGUUCUUACACUCAGACCCAAUAACCUCACACUGCAGCUAUGAACACAUUUUAGACCUCCAGACAAAUACUCCCCAAUAUUCCCCGCCGUAUUAUUUAUAAUAAAGGAAGGUUGGAAAAAACUUUUAUGUUCAAAAAAUGAGAAAAUGGUUAAAUAUGUUAGGGCAUCAAUGUAAUAAAGUAUUAGUUCAUUAUUAACAUUUUAUCAUCUAAUUGGAAUGUUUGGACAUUGUUCAGAUUCUGAUUUGAAGAAUCUUUUUUUUUUUUUUUUUUUGAGAUGGAGUCUCGCUCUGUCCCCUAGGCUGGAGUGCAGUGGCACGAUCUCAGCUCACUGCAAGCUCCGCCUCCCGGAUUCAUGCCUAUUCUCCUGCCACAGCCUCCUGAGUAGCUGGGACUACAGGCGCCCGC
rnacentral:lncRNA from 10 species